AGCAACAGGAACAAAAAUUGAUACAAAAACAUUGGCGAAAAAGAUUGCCAACAUGAGGGCAAGGUUAAAAAAAAGUCUGACAUCCAUCGAACUGGAAACAAGCCUAUAAAGCUUUCAGCGAUUGAAGUCAAACUUGCCAAUCUUUUAGAUACAGAAAAGAAUCCUACCUUCACACAAAUUGAUGGGGCAAUAUCUGCAGGCAUAUAUCAAACUCCCACUUCAAGUGUUGCUGAAACAAAUUCUGUAUUCAGCAACUCAUCAAAAAGUCAAACUAUAUCUUCAUUGUCACCAUCAGUUGAAUUUUCAGGGAACACAUCUUCUCAAGCAUAGAGGUUAAUUCCAAAAAGAUUAAAACUACCUGGUGAAACUAAAGAAACUAUAAAAUGGACAAAUACAGAGCUUCAGCGUGUGGUCAUGCUGGAGCAGCUAAAAUACUAUCGGUUGAAAAGUUUAAAGUUAAAAUAUACUACUCCCCACCAUAUAAAUGAAGAGGAGAUAGAUAUUGUUGUUGACAUUAACGUUGAUGGAAAAAAAACAU
rnacentral:lncRNA from 1 species